AUGUCGUGUUUGCACUCGAGCGCUAAGGUCGUG
rnacentral:misc_RNA from 1 species